UGGCUCUUGCAUCGAUGAAGAACGCAGCGAAAUGCGAUAAGUAAUGUGAAUUGCAGAAUUCAGUGAAUCAUCGAAUCUUUGAACGCACCUUGCACCUCUUGGUAUUCCGAGAGGUACACCUGUUUGAGUGUCGUGAAUAACUCUAAUUAACAAUUUAUUUGUUCAAUUAGGAUUUGGGAAUUGCAGGCUUUACAUCUGCUUUCCUUGAAUAUAUUAGCAAAGAACAUUUGUGACUUAUAAAAGUGCAUGAUAGACUAUCUACACUUUGAGUUGCUUAAUUGUAUAUUGCUUCAAAAAAAAAUACAUUUAUGAACUUGACCUCAAAUCAGGUGGGACUACCCGCUGA
rnacentral:misc_RNA from 1 species